rnacentral:rRNA from 1 species
GACGAACGCUGGCGGCGUGCUUAACACAUGCAAGUCGAACGGUAAGGCCCUUCGGGGUACACGAGUGGCGAACGGGUGAGUAACACGUGGGUGAUCUGCCCUGCACUUCGGGAUAAGCCUGGGAAACUGGGUCUAAUACCGGAUAGGACCACUGCCUGCAUGGGUGGUGGUGGAAAGCUUUUGUGGUGUGGGAUGGGCCCGCGGCCUAUCAGCUUGUUGGUGGGGUAAUGGCCUACCAAGGCGACGACGGGUAGCCGGCCUGAGAGGGUGACCGGUCACACUGGGACUGAGAUACGGCCCAGACUCCUACGGGAGGCAGCAGUGGGGAAUAUUGCACAAUGGGCGCAAGCCUGAUGCAGCGACGCCGCGUGAGGGAUGACGGCCUUCGGGUUGUAAACCUCUUUCAGCUAUGACGAAGCGCAAGUGACGGUAGUAGCAGAAGAAGGACCGGCCAACUACGUGCCAGCAGCCGCCGUAA